rnacentral:rRNA from 1 species
ACGGAAGGCAGCAGUAGGGAAUUUUCGGCAAUGGGCGAAAGCCUGACCGAGCAACGCCGCGUGAAGGAAGAAGGAAUUCGUUCUGUAAACUUCUGUCAUAGAGGAAGAACGGUAUAUGUAGGGAAUGACAUAUAAGUGACGGUACUCUAUAAGAAAGCCACGGCUAACUACGUGCCAGCAGCCGCGGUAAUACGUAGGUGGCGAGCGUUAUCCGGAAUUAUUGGGCGUAAAGAGGGAGCAGGCGGCACUAAGGGUCUGUGGUGAAAGCCCGAAGCUUAACUUCGGUAAGCCAUGGAAACCGUAGAGCUAGAGUGUGUGAGAGGAUCGUGGAAUUCCAUGUGUAGCGGUGAAAUGCGUAGAUAUAUGGAGGAACACCAGUGGCGAAGGCGACGAUCUGGCGCACAACUGACGCUCAGUCCCGAAAGCGUGGGGAGCAAAUAGGAUUAGAUACCCUGGUA